AACAGCCCUACCCUUUUUUGUUCACCUGCAACUCUGUUUGAAAUCUCAAGUCGCAACAGAGAAAUCUCGGAGGAAGAAAAGAGUUGAAAUUUUUCUCCCGUGAUGCAGUUACCUGCUAAAAAUAUAAAUUAUAAGGUUCCGAUGUCAAUUUCAAACAUCAAAAGUUAUUAAGUUUACUUACUUGGAAGAAUGUGGAAACGAAGUCUUUAAGGAGAAAAAAAGUUCCGAUUUGAAACAUAACUAAAAAGAGAAAUUAACACAAUGUAACAAUUAUUUGUAACCUUUCAAAAAAGGUUCGAGGACGGGUGAUGUUAAGUUCCUUUUUCAGGAAAAAAUUACUUGUUGCUCAUAUGUUUUAUCCAAACUUUGGAACAAAGAUAUAGCAAGAAACAUACAGCGAAUGGCUAAUGAAUCCAAGGCAACUCAUACCGGAGGUGAAAGAUCAUGUUUUCACCUAAAUGCUCUUUCCCUGGAAAUCCUGUAAGAUGACAUCUGGAAGACGAUCCGGUAUUACUAAAGAUGGAACAUAUCAUACUACCUGACGAUACAUAAACACCAAAAUCAAAGUGAAUGAAAGUCAUAUUAAAUAUAGGGUUCAUAUUACCAUAGAAAAUGAAAUCUAACUACUGUAUAUUAGUGUAUGCAUAGACUCCAUAACUAUUUGCAGUCCUAAAGACGCCAUGAAAGAAGUGAAAAUAGUGGUAUCCUGUGUAUCACUUACCAAAGCAAACCAGGAAAAUCAGUAGCCAAAGGGAAAAGAAGAAAUAAUUUAUGUAAUAUUUACACAUUCAUGUAUGUAUGUAUUAUUUGUGUAUGUAUACGGUAGCAAAACUUCAUAUUACCAUAGAAAACGAAAUCUAACUAUCAUAUAUUAGUGUAUACAUAGAUUCCAUAACUAUUUGCAGUUCUAAAGACUCCAUGGCAAAAGCGAAAAUAUUAUUUAACCUAUAUAUUAUUUACCAAAGCAAAGCAGGAAAAUAAUUAAGUAGCCAAAGGGAAAAGAACAAACAAUUUAUAUAAUAUUUACACAUUCGUGUAGGUAUGCAUUGUUUGUGUAGGAAUAUGAUAGCAAAACUAAAAGCACGUAAUACAGAGCAUUUGGCCACACUGGCUAUCACAAGAAUAUCAGCUGGCAUACUUUAAGGGUUACUCAUCUCAAUAUUUUUUUUAUUAACAUGAGCUUUCACGUUGGCGACGUUACUAACUUCCUCGGGAUGAUCCACGCAGUAUUGCAUCUGCUCAUAAAGUUUGUCCCUAUAUAUUAUUGUUAUGGUGAAGGCAGUUAGCACUCUCAAUACCCUCAAUCAUAAUGGAGAAGAAAGUAGAGAAUUAAAAAAAUAUAAUAUAUCCAAAUUCCCUGUUCAAGCCGCUGCAAAAGUUUUGCCUCCUCUAUAUUUAUUGGUGAAGUCCUUCUUAGUUAUCUCUAGAAAUGUAGUUGAAGAACAAUUGUUGUUCAUUUUUCUAUAACACAUUUUUUGAUCCUCUUCUGUUUUCCAUAUAUGUACAGAAAGGAGGGUAAAAAUGACCUAGACUACUGUGAAGGAAAGAAACAUAGAAACACUACAUCAACAACAAUUUUAAUCAACAUUUUUAUGACACAUUAUCCAAGAGACAUGCGGAUCAAACAUAUUCUAGUAACAGUUGGCCCCUUAACUUUGAAUCUCAUUUAUCUUUGAAGGUUGGGCGCCCAACAAUCAGGGGAAAUAUUCCUAUCGCCAGGACUAUAUUUUUGAUAUUGAAAAGGAAUAGCUAGCUUCUUUAAGUAGUUGGUUAAACUUUUAUAGGGUGAUUGAAGUAUAAAUUGAUUUCUGUAAAUUGAACAAUAUGACUAUUACAUUAGUGAAUGCUCUUUUAUUGAAACAUAGGAGGACAAAGCAGGAAUCUAAACUUAAAAAAAGAAGGAAAAACUUUUUUACCAAAUGCAGUGAUAGGCAUAACUAUGGUAAAAGUCCAAAUUACCACUUUCAGACAUAUCAUCAACCACCUUGUGACUAGACCACAGACUUUCUGGUUAGUUUUGCACUAGUUAGUUGGUAACAAGGACAGAAUUAAUCAAACAUAAUGCAUGUGCAAAUCAGGCGCAAUCACUAAUAAGUCUAAUAUGCAUAUAGAAUUCCAGUAAGAAAUUAUUAAAAAAGAAAAGAAAAUAACAUAUAUGCACACAAAAUUGUGAUUACAAAUAAAAAAGUGCAAAAAUAACUUCAAAAACAGAAAGGCCACGUGAUACAAAUAGAGCAAAAUUGACAAUCAAUGUAAGAGUGAAGACCAAAAAAAAAAUAUGUACUACACUACAUUCACACUGCAACGCGCAUACACAUCAGCACUUCAAUUCCAUUAUAGAACCCAAU
rnacentral:lncRNA from 1 species